rnacentral:lncRNA from 1 species
AAAGAGAUAUGACUUACAACUACCGAAUACGGGGUAGUAGCCAAAAACUCUGAUGAGGAUAAAAGAAUUAGGGUUUACAUCUACCGAAUACGGGGUAGAAAACCAACAACUCCACGUGGGGAAUGCAAGAAACACAAAUCCGCACAGGAACAAAAUAGGGUUUAUAACAAACCACCCACUCUUGCCGAGGAAUAAAAGGUAUAUAACC